UCUCUGAAGAGAGACUUCAAUGACGUCAAGAGGUGAAAUACUAAAAGCGGUAAUGAUCGUUCGGAUUUUCCGUUUUACGAUGAAAAGGUAAGCCUCCUUGACGAGAGGCCGUCAGCUUUAUCGCUAGAACGCGGUGUAGAUUCUACACCAUGUGGAGAAGAAUCUUCAGAAACUGACACAGGAACCGAAACUUCAACAUGAGAACCGCAACAUGAGGUUGCAUUUACAAUUUCUCCAGAUGACUCGCCGAAUUUUACGGUGUCUGCAACCAGCAGACGAGCAAAAAGUUGUCAGAAGAAUUUGAGAAAGACAGACAGUGCACAAAGCAGCUGUUGGAGAAUAUCCAAAGUAGGCAUGUGGAAGAGACAAAACAAUUAGUAAACUCAUUUUAAGUGGCCUUCACGCCAUUAGUGGGCAGAACACUCAACUCCACUUCAUGCUCUAACAGCAAACACCACAGUUCUUUCCACAGACUGGUUUUUUCCAUCCAACCACCCCUUCUCCAACUCUAUCCCCUUCCUGAUCCACCUCCGCUGCCCCAUCCAUCUCCAGUUACAGACAGUGAGCUUUUUGUACACUGUAAAUUGAA